AUUGAACGCUGGCGGCAGGCUUAACACAUGCAAGUCGAACGGUAACAGGAAGCAGCUUGCUGCUUUGCUGACGAGUGGCGGACGGGUGAGUAAUGUCUGGGAAACUGCCUGAUGGAGGGGGAUAACUACUGGAAACGGUAGCUAGUACCGCAUAACGUCGCAAGACCAAAGAGGGGGACCUUCGGGCCUCUUGCCAUCGGAUGUGCCCAGAUGGGAUUAGCUAGUAGGUGGGGUAACGGCUCACCUAGGCGACGAUCCCUAGCUGGUCUGAGAGGAUGACCAGCCACACUGGAACUGAGACACGGUCCAGACUCCUACGGGAGGCAGCAGUGGGGAAUAUUGCACAAUGGGCGCAAGCCUGAUGCAGCCAUGCCGCGUGUAUGAAGAAGGCCUUCGGGUUGUAAAGUACUUUCAGCGGGGAGGAAGGGAGUAAAGUUAAUACCUUUGCUCAUUGACGUUACCCGCAGAAGAAGCACCGGCUAACUCCGUG
rnacentral:rRNA from 1 species